rnacentral:lncRNA from 1 species
UGUCUUGGAGCAUUGCAAGUAUUUUUGGUGUUUCUUGGAGUAUUGCAAGUAGCUGUGGACUGGCCUUGCUGUUUGUGUUACCAAGCUGGCGAGGUGACAAGUGGCAGAGCCAGGUUCAACAGAAGGCGCAACAUGCCCGCCACUUGGCUGCUCUUCUGUGCCAGGAGCUGGCAGACGGUGAAGGCACCAUAUGUCCUCACAAGGAAGACACCGGCGAGGUUGAGGAGGAACCCAUGCUCGUGGACGAUUGGGACGAACUAUGGUGCGAAUCCUUACUCAUACCGACAGCAUCUUUGGACGCAGCACACACCAUGGUCAGGCUCGGUUUGUGCACUCACUGCCACAGGCGGAGAAACAGGACAGAACGCAUGGGAAGGACAAGCCAAUCUGUGAGGAUCUCGCUUACAGACAGGAUGACUUACGCCAUUGCUACCAACAAAGAACUGAAGAAAAGUGCACCUGAACCCCCAGCUCUACCACCGAGUCAUCCUGAACCUAAGAGCGAGGGUCUUGCUUGGCUUGGUAGGGCAACAGCAACUCCAGCAUGCAAGGAUCUGACAUGGGUGACAGGGGCACCUGCCAAGCCUGUGGUCAGCCAGCCAAGCCGCUCUUCGACAAAGGAUCCUCUGCUUCAUGUACCCAAGGAUGUGACUAGUCACGUGUACAGGAUAUGCACACCGUGCCCUGUGCAGAUCACCACACUCUGACGAAAGUCUGGAUCCACGGAAACACGCGUCUUUCAUCCACCAUCUGCUCCAGGGUGACCAAGCACGUAACGGAUAUAAUGACCUGCCGAGCGUCGGUCAGCUUUCCGCUUCACCCACGUGGAUUUGAUCUGAAAAUGACUUCCUGAUCGAUUUUACUUAUUUAUUUCUUUUUUGUACUGGGAUUCUUACUUUUCCAGUUCAGCCAAGCGGUGCGUUUCACCACCGUCGUGAUCACUGCCAAUAUAUGAAUAAAUUGGCAUUUCCCUUCUGAUCUAGCCGAAUGGAUUCACAUGUUUUCAUAGAUCACUCUUUUAUCCUUGUAAAUAAUUGAUGAAACACUUUCUGGGGCAGGAUAUAACAACAUUAAAUAUUGAUAAGAUGUGGUGAAAUUUCCAUGUCUCUAUUUUGAGAGGGGCUCAUGGAAGUUAAGAAAUUACAUUAAUUUGAUCAUAUCCCACUACAGGCUUACUAUUUAACUGGUCAACUUAAGAAGGGAAUCCGAGACCAAAGAAGGUGAUAAUGGCACAGGUCCAUGACUUCUUGUGGUCGAAACGGUUACCAUUUUCUACAAUGGCUAACCUGAAACCCUCUGUCUUUGACAGAACAUUUCACAAGAUAUGGCAAUGGAAUGAUGGGGUUUCCAGAAAUUAUUAUUGCCAAAUGUAUUUGUAUUUUCUCAUGAGGCCAUCAAAAAUGGGUCUCGCUGAUUAUGUAUCACUCGGGCUAUGAGGAUACGUUUAGAUAUGGACGCUCGCUUGUUAGCUAUUUAGCCUGGCUUCAAACGUCGAUCAAGCUAUAAGCUGUCACCCUGGUGUCUUGCAUUGAUAUGUGUGCUACGUCCAUCGGACAUUGAGCCAGACGACCUGAUUCCCAUCACUGGUUGAUGGUGGGAUGUUAAAGAUCCCUGUUAUCACCAGCACCGUGAAUAAAUUACAAAUUCCUCCCCAAAUCGUCUGCUGUCUAACGUCAGGCUUGGCUAGCUGGUUCAUUAAAAAAAAUUGUGGAAAAAAUCAUUUCCAGACAAACUCCACGGGAAUGUGGGAUUACUCGGGGCCGUUCAAGAAGUAGGAGAGUCGUGUAGCACGGCUUAAAAAAAAAAUGUUCCAC